UAACUGAAGGGCCUGCUCUUUGCAUUGUGU
rnacentral:piRNA from 1 species